UACACUCCUACGGGAGGCAGCAGUGGGGAAUAUUGGACAAUGGGCGCAAGCCUGAUCCAGCCAUGCCGCGUGAGUGAUGAAGGCCCUAGGGUUGUAAAGCUCUUUCACCGGUGAAGAUAAUGACGGUAACCGGAGAAGAAGCCCCGGCUAACUUCGUGCCAGCAGCCGCGGUAAUACGAAGGGGGCUAGCGUUGUUCGGAUUUACUGGGCGUAAAGCGCACGUAGGCGGACUAUUAAGUCAGGGGUGAAAUCCCGGGGCUCAACCCCGGAACUGCCUUUGAUACUGGUAGUCUUGAGUUCGAGAGAGGUGAGUGGAAUUCCGAGUGUAGAGGUGAAAUUCGUAGAUAUUCGGAGGAACACCAGUGGCGAAGGCGGCUCACUGGCUCGAUACUGACGCUGAGGUGCGAAAGCGUGGGGAGCAAACAGGAUUAGAUACCCCAGUAGUCCC
rnacentral:rRNA from 1 species